rnacentral:siRNA from 1 species
UGUUGGCAGAGUGUACGUACAC